rnacentral:rRNA from 1 species
GUUUCAGCCGCCGCGGUAAUGCGUAGGGUGCAAGCGUUAAUCGGAAUUACUGGGCGUAAAGCGUGCGCAGGCGGUUAUGCAAGACAGAGGUGAAAUCCCCGGGCUCAACCUGGGAACUGCCUUUGUGACUGCAUGGCUAGAGUACGGUAGAGGGGGAUGGAAUUCCGCGUGUAGCAGUGAAAUGCGUAGAUAUGCGGAGGAACACCGAUGGCGAAGGCAAUCCCCUGGACCUGUACUGACGCUCAUGCACGAAAGCGUGGGAAGCAAACAGGAUUAGAUACCCUGGUAGUCCACGCCCUAAACGAUGUCAACUGGUUGUUGGGAGGGUUUCUUCUCAGUAACGUAGCUAACGCGUGAAGUUGACCGCCUGGGGAGUACGGCCGCAAGGUUGAAACUCAAAGGAAUUGACGGGGACCCGCGCAAGCGGUGGAUGAUGUGGUUUAAUUCGAUGCAACGCGAAAAACCUUACCUACCCUUGACAUGCCAGGAAUCCUGAAGAGAUUUGGGAGUGCUCGAAAGAGAGCCUGGACACAGGUGCUGCAUGGCCGUCGUCAGCUCGUGUCGUGAGAUGUUGGGUUAAGUCCCGCAACGAGCGCAACCCUUGUCAUUAGUUGCUACGAAAGGGCACUCUAAUGAGACUGCCGGUGACAAACCGGAGGAAGGUGGGGAUGACGUCAGGUCAUCAUGGCCCUUAUGGGUAGGGCUACACACGUCAUACAAUGGCCGGGACAGAGGGCUGCCAACCCGCGAGGGGGAGCUAAUCCCAGAAACCCGGUCGUAGUCCGGAUCGUAGUCUGCAACUCGACUGCGUGAAGUCGGAAUCGCUAGUAAUCGCGGAUCAGCCGCCGCGGUGAAUACGUUCCCGGGCCUUGUACACACCGCCCGUCAAAC